GGGGCUCGGGCUCAGUGGUAGAGCACUUGCCUUGCAUGUAUGAGAUAUUGGGUUCGAUCCUCAGCACCA
rnacentral:tRNA from 1 species